rnacentral:rRNA from 1 species
GCUCAACAGCUAGCCCGCCCUAAUAAAAUCAACACCCCCCUAUUAAUACCCCCUAACACACUACAUAACACAUAAACAAAACAUUUUUCCUCCCUAGUACGGGCGACGGAAAAGGGACUAGGCGCAAUAGAGAAAGAACCGCAAGGGAAAGCAGAAAGAGAAAUGAAAAUGACCC